rnacentral:rRNA from 1 species
GACGAACGCUGGCGGCGUGCUUAACACAUGCAAGUCGAACGGAAAGGCCCUGCUUGCAGGGUGCUCGAGUGGCGAACGGGUGAGUAACACGUGGGUGAUCUGCCCCUUACUUUGGGAUAAGCCUGGGAAACUGGGUCUAGUACUGGAUAGGACCAUGCUGUAGGUGGUGUGGUGGAAAGAUUAGUUUCGGUAAGGGAUGAGCUCGCGGCCUAUCAGCUUGUUGGUGGGGUAAUGGCCUACCAAGGCGUCGACGGGUAGCCGGCCUGAGAGGGUGGACGGCCACAUUGGGACUGAGAUACGGCCCAGACUCCUACGGGAGGCAGCAGUGGGGAAUAUUGCACAAUGGGCGCAAGCCUGAUGCAGCGACGCCGCGUGGGGGAUGACGGCCUUCGGGUUGUAAACUCCUUUCAGCCAUGACGAAGCCCUUGUGGUGACGGUAGUGGUAGAAGAAGCACCGGCUAGCUACGUG